UGUUAUACCAAGAAAAACUGUCGAAUC
rnacentral:sRNA from 1 species